AUUGAACGCUGGCGGCAGGCCUAACACAUGCAAGUCGAGCGGAUGCAGGGAGCUUGCCCCUGGAUUCAGCGGCGAACGGGUGAGUAAUGCCUAGGAAUCUGCCUGGUAGUGGGGGAUAACUUCCGGAAACCGGCGCUAAUACCGCAUACGACCUGAGGGAGAAAGUGGGGGAUCUUCGGACCUCACGCUAUCGGAUGAGCCGAGGGCGGAUUAGCUAGUUGGUGGGGUAAAGGCCUACCAAGGCGACGAUCCGUAACUGGUCUGAGAGGAUGAUCAGUCACACUGGAACUGAGACACGGCCCAGACUCCUACGGGAGGCAGCAGUGGGGAAUAUUGGACAAUGGGCGAAAGCCUGAUCCAGCAAUGCCGCGUGUGUGAAGAAGGCCUUCGGAUUGUAAAGCACUUUAAGCUGGGACGAAGGGCAGUAAGCUAAUACCACGCUGUUAUGACGUUACCCGCAGAAUAAGCACCGGCUAACUUCGUG
rnacentral:rRNA from 1 species